rnacentral:rRNA from 1 species
UAAUACGUAGAUGGCAAGCGUUAUCCGGAUUUAUUGGGCGUAAAGGGUGCUCAGCUGGUUUAUUAAGUCUGUAGUUAAAUUUCGGGGCUCAACUCCGAACUGCUGCGGAAACUGGUAGACUUGAGUGCAGAAGAGGGUAGUGGAAUUCCAUGUGAAGCGGUAAAAUGCGUAGAUAUAUGGAGGAACACCAGUGGCGAAGGCGGCUACCUGGUCUGCAACUGACGGUCAAGCACGAAAGCGUGGGGAGCAAAUAGG